rnacentral:rRNA from 1 species
AUUGAACGCUGGCGGCAGGCUUAACACAUGCAAGUCGAACGAGUGGCGGACGGGUGAGUAAUGCUUGGGAAACUGCCUGAUGGAGGGGGAUAACUACGGGAAACUGUAGCUAAUACCGCAUACCAUAGGAUGAGCCCAGGUGGGAUUGGGUAGUUGGUGAGGUAAAGGCUCACCAAGCCGACGCUCUCUAGCUGGUCUGAGAGGAUGACCAGCCACACUGGAACUGAGACACGGCCCAGACUCCUACGGGAGGCAGCAGUGGGGAAUAUUGCGCAAUGGGCGCAAGCCUGAUGCAGCCAUGCCGCGUGAAUGAAGAAGGCCUUCGGGUUGUAAAGUACUUUCAGCAGGGAGGCGUUACCUGCAGAAGAAGCACCGGCUAACUCCGUGCCAGCAGCCGCGGUAAUAC